rnacentral:lncRNA from 1 species
GUUUAACAUGGAUCAGUCGUUUAAUUUUAGAAUUGGGUUCAACUAGGUUAGAAAAAAUAUUCUACCGUGCAUAAACUAGAACAAACCCUAAUGUGUGUGGUUCAGAUUUUUUUUUUAAGGAAGAGGGAGAGAGGAAGAGGAAGAGAAAGAAAGAGAGAGAUUCUAAAGGUGAGAACUUUAAGAAAGUUCUAGACCUAAAGAAGAU